rnacentral:rRNA from 1 species
UAGGGAAUCUUCGGCAAUGGGGGGAACCCUGACCGAGCAACGCCGCGUGAGUGAAGAAGGUUUUCGGAUCGUAAAGCUCUGUUGUUAAGGAAGAACGAGUGUGAGAAUGGAAAGUUCAGACUGUGACGGUACUUAACCAGAAAGGGACGGCUAACUACGUGCCAGCAGCCGCGGUAAUACGUAGGUCCCGAGCGUUGUCCGGAUUUAUUGGGCGUAAAGCGAGCGCAGGCGGUUAGAUAAGUCUGAAGUUAAAGGCAGUGGCUCAACCAUUGUAGGCUUUGGAAACUGUUUAACUUGAGUGCAGAAGGGGAGAGUGGAAUUCCAUGUGUAGCGGUGAAAUGCGUAGAUAUAUGGAGGAACACCGGUGGCGAAAGCGGCUCUCUGGUCUGUAACUGACGCUGAGGCUCGAAAGCGUGGGGAGCGAACAGG